UCAUAACAAGAGAAAUUUAUUGCUCACAGUUCUGGAGCCUGGGAAGUCCAAGAUCAACGUACCAGCAGAUUCAGAUGAAGGCGUGUUCUCAGCUUCAUAGGUGGUGCAUUCUUGCUGCUUCUUCACAUGAUGGAAGGAGUGAACAAGCUCCCUUGGGCCUCUUUUACAAAGAUGGCAAAGAAGGAGAGAAGAGAAGAAGUAGCCAGACAUUGGAAAGAAACAGCUUGACUUCAGAGGAAUGGCUUGAUGGUGGGACUUAGGAGAAGUGUACAGCAGGGGACUGCUGGACUCCAUGGGAAGAUCACCUUCCCACUCCAUCCCCCUUCCAGCUCCCCAUCCUGCUGGGAGCCACUUUCAUCAGUAAUAAAAUUCUCCGCAUUCAUCACCCUUCAAUUUUUUCAUGCAACCUUGGUUGCAAGGACUCAGGUGGAGAGACGAAGGAUCAAGCAAUGUGACUGGUAGAAACUGUGUUAUACAAGGUAAACCAAGAGAGAAUUGUGCAAAAAUGUCUUCAGGGUCACUUCUUUCCCUAACUUGGUCCCUCAGAGUUCUUUCCACUAGAUAUCCAGUGUGUUCAACCUAACUCCUAUCUGCAGUGGGCCUCCAAAUAUUGCACCCCUAUGGGCAGGGCUGUGUGUCAUUUCCCUGGCCCCUAUCUGGGUCAAAACUGUCAUUCCUCCAGGGACCUGCUGGGCAACUAGCAAACUAAUCUUCAAUGUAUUUUACCCAAGGUGUUAAUGACAGAUAAUGGCUUAAUGCAUUACCCCUCCCAGCUAACAUUUCCAUUUUAAUAGAGCCUUUAAAUGCUUUAACCUGAAGGAAACAGCAUGAAAAAUGCAGGGAUAGCAAAUAUCUGGCACCUUUGCUCCUUCCCUGUUCCUGGAAGACAUCUUCAAAUGGUCACUGAGGCUUUUCCUGCUAUGCCUGGACAUACCCUGAGAAGCCCAUAGGGCCCUGGGCAGCCCCUACCAGCCUAUGAUGGGAGUUACCAUGCAAGAUGAAAUCUAUUUGCCAACCUUAUCGUGAAACAAAUAUUUGUCCAGGAGUAAAAAGACCUGAAUUCUACUUUGGGGCUUUGACAUUACCUGGACAUAGGGCCUAAACAAAUUUAUUAGACAUUUCCAAGUCUCAGUUUCCUUACCCAUAAAAUGAGAGGACUGGCAUUAGAGUCAAGCAUUUCCAAAGCAUAGUUCUCAAUCUGCCAGGGACUCUCAAAAUCUGACCUCACAGCUCUCCAAGCUGGUUGCUGCUACCACGUACCUCUUCCCAUUUUUGCCUUGCUUCCCACAAGGGAAGGAAAUUCACUCCCAACUGGGCACCACCUUUCUAUCUCUAUUUGGGGACCUUCCUGUCCCUGAAAGGCCCUGGGAACAUAAUGUAAAGCAACUAUGGGGGCAGCUGCUAAGAAGCCAGAUCUUGUGACACUAAGAGUCCAGUCACGUGGUUCAGAGUCCACAGCAACCUGUGGCGACUAUGCAGUCAUCAGCCAGAGAGGCAGAGCCUCUGUCUGGAGAUGUGUCAGAAAUGGGUGUGACUAGUCCCAGACACAUCAAGUGAGGAAAAAUCAGGUGUGCAGAUUACGUUGUGUAAAUGCCUUUCUAAUUCUCAAUGCUCCAGGAAGGAAUCUCAGAGAUUAAAUUAAGCUGUUAACCCUCUAGGCGCUCCUGUCGUUUAUUGUUAAGGAAUUAAUAGGAAUGCGGGAAUGCAGAUGGCCUGGCUGUCAGCUCGGAGAGGCGAUUUUUCUGAUCUCCAAGGAGGUUUCCAGCAUCUUUCAUUAAGCACUCGUGUACCAACUUGUCAUUUUAACCGAGCAGCAAAGAAACUCCCACUCAACUGCCUACCUCAGGUGCUGGGAGUGCAAUCCUCGGAGGAGUCUUUCUGGGUUGCAGGUGCAGGGGAGGCGCCCAGGUGAUGGGGGUGGGGUGCAGCGAGAAAUGGAUUUAAAGCCACUCCAGGAAGGAAAUCGGAUCCCAAAACCUGGUUGUCCUGGGCACAGGCUUCAGGUGACUGCAGAAGAUUCCUCUCUAGCAAUCCUGAACUGAGCAGAGAUGUGAAAACUUACUUCUUUCCGCUUUCUCGAAGCGCUCCAGGACGCAGGUGGCACGCUCAACGCGGGGAGGCGCCACCUACAGGACAGAGGAAGACCUGCAGCUUGGGCUUGAGAUUUCAACAGUCUGUGGCGGGGGCUGAUGAGGGCGGCCCCUCCUCCUCCUGGAGUAAUAAUAGUCCCUGACAUUUAUCGAAUGCUCUUCUCGUGCCAGACACUGUCCUGAGCACUUGACAUGUAUUAAUGAUUUUAAACCUCACAACAACCCUAUUAGCUUUGGUUUACCAUUUUUUGAGACUCGCUUACUCGUCUGGAAAGGAAAUCUUUGCUAAGGUAAUAUGGUACCCAGAGGAACCCAGAGAGAUAACAACCUCUUCUAUUUGUAAAGACCACUUGUGAAGGAAACUCCAUAACCUCCCUGUGGUGGAGUGUAUUAUUGCUCAGCAAACAUUCAUUCUUCUCUAUUUCCCUCCGUUGGGGGAGCAAACUUCCCCACUCCAUUGAUGAUGGGUCUAGCCAUGUGACUUGUUUUAGCCAAUGGAAUGUAAACAGAGGCUUUAACUCUACUUGCUUGGUUAAGCUUGGUCUCUUGCACCUCUACCCUUUGCCACGAGAAGAGCAUGCCCUUGUCACUUCGGCCUGAGUCCCAGAAUGAGAAGUUACAUGGAGCAGACCUGAACAAGAUUCACAACCUGAACAGAAUCACUGCAGCCAAUCCACAAACCUAAAAUUGUCUACAUUCCUGCCUGGGCAUGGUGGCUCAUGCCUGUAAUCCAGCACUUUGGGAGGCCGAGGUGGGCGAGUCACUUGAGUCAGGAGUUCGAGACCAGCCUGGCCAACAUGGUGAAACCCUGCCUCUACUAAAAAUACAAAAAAUUAGCUGAGCAUGGUGGUGCAUGACUGUAAUCCCAGCUACUUGGGAGGCUGGGUCAGGAGAAUCGCUUUAACUGGGAGGUGGAGGUUGCAGUGAGCCAAGAUCACGCCACUGCACUCCAGAGUGGGAAACAGAGCAAGACUCCACCUCAAAAAGAAGAAGGAGAAGGAGAAGGAGAUUAUCUACAUUCCUGAGGAGGAGAAGUUGUACUUAAACUACCUUGAUCCAACUUCCAGCUUUACAAUCAUUGCCCCCCACCAUGCAUAUAUCAUACAUAUAUACCUGCUAGCAUGAAUACCUGCAUCAUAUCUAGAAUUAAUGGGAAUAGUCAUAGGGCCAAUCUUUCUUAUAUCAAGCAAGCUGAACAAGGGUCCAAGGGAUAAGGCCACAGCUACUUCCUCCUGCUUUAGAACAGAGCUAAAUAAACCUGUUCCUAAGUCUUGUGAGUUAUUGCAUCCUUGCCUUAUAAGGAAUGAAGACUUAACCUGCUUCCUGGCAGUCAUUACUAACUGAGUGAAGAUUCCCAUUAAUCCAGAAAUGGGAGCCUCUCUGGCUUGCAUAUGUCCAGGAAUGGACAUACCACCCACAGUUUUACUCCUGGUGGCCAAUCGGUCCCGCACACAAACACAGGCACAUCUUUUAUUUAAUGCUCAAGAUUUGUGAACAACUCCCAGCACUGUGCCUUCCAAAGGGCUUGCAUUAAGUGCUGGUGAAGGAGCAGGGACCUCUAUCAUGGCCAGAGCCAGUCAAUAAUGACACCCUGGCAGCUCUCAAAGGUGCACGAGUGGAAUGGCCAUUGAGCUACUCCAUGCAAUGAAAAGUUCUAAUGGGGAGUGGGGACACUUCUCUCCCCAGUCCCAUCCCAUGGCUUGGCUGAAAAUUUUUUUCUUUUGGGAGAUCACUGGCUUUCUCCAGCAACCUUGACUAUAAGGAUGAGGAUGAGGAGAAAAAAUAAGAACUGCCGAGUGUGGUGGCUCACGCCUGUAAUCCCAGCACUUUGGGAGGCUGAGGUGGGUGGAUCACAAAGUCAGGAGUUCAAAACCAGCCUGGCCAAGAUGGUGAAAUCCCGUUUCUACUAAAAAUACAAAAGAAAAAAAAAUUAGCCAGGCGUGGUGGCGAGUGCCUGUAAUCCCAGCUACUGGUGAGGCUAAGGCAGAGAAUUGCUUGAACCAGGGAGGCAGAGGUCACAGUGAGCCGAGAUCAUGCCACUGCACUCCAGCCUUUGCAACAGAGUGAGACUCUGUCUCAAAAAAAAAAAAAGUACACAGGGGAGGUUGUGGGGAAUUUGGAAUAUUCCCUAAGGAUUUCCUCCAUUGAAGAGGUCUGCUUUAAAGUACUGGGGGUCCACAAACUCACCCCAUUUCCAGCUUGGCCUUGGGAGAAGAGGAGGACAGAGAACAGAAUUCUGGAUUGUUACUAGGUAGUUGGGCUGCAUCAGGAAGACAUUUUGGUAGAAGGAGAGGAAAGAGAGGUAGGAAGUGGGAAGGGAAGCACUAAGGGUUUUUUUUUUGACCCUGAUCCCCUUAGCUAGACAAGCUCAGUGGGGCUUAGGAUGGAGGUCAGGGAUAGCCUAAGAUCCUGUUACUGAAAGGGUAGUCUCCAGCCAGCAGCAUCAGCAUCACCUGGCUCUUAGGCUUCACCCCAGACCUACUGAAUCAGAAACUGCAUUUUAAUCCCUAGGUGAUAAGUAUGUCCAAUAAAAUUUCAGAAGCAUUAGCCUAGAUGCUUCAAUGGGAAUAACUUCUUGCAGUGAGCUAUUGAGGAACUGUGCUGGAUAAUCUCUCUGCCCUUCCAAAUCCACUUGCCAUCCUUAUUCCCCUGCUCUUGGGACUAAGAAGUGAAUUGAUGAAUUCGCUUCCUUUAUUCAUUGCUUCAACAGGCUCCCUUGUCAUCUGGCUUCUGGUUGGGCUCAGCCAAUGGUCAGUGCUCAAGAAGCAGUGACUUAAGUGACAUUAAUAGUGACUUUACCAGCCAGGCAGGGUGGCUCAUGCCUGUAAUCCCAGCACUUUGGGUGGCCAAGACGGGUGGAUCACCUGAGGUCAGGAGUUUGAGACCAGCCUGGCUAACAUGGUGAAAUCCUG
rnacentral:lncRNA from 1 species